GGAGGUAUGGGCCAGUGGUCAGGCUGCCAGACUGAGACUCUGGAGACCAACACUCUCCUCCAUGUCUGACUGCAAGCUUCUUGCUUUUCUCCA
rnacentral:tRNA from 1 species